rnacentral:misc_RNA from 1 species
GAUGAAGAACGUAGCGAAAUGCGAUACGUAGUGUGAAUUGCAGAAUUCAGUGAAUCAUCGAAUCUUUGAACGCACAUUGCACCUCUCGGUAUUCCGGGAGGUAUGCCUGUUCGAGCGUCAUUUGUACCCUCAAGCUCUGCUUGGUGUUGGGUGUUUGUUCCGCCUCUGUGUGUGAACUCGCCUCAAAACAAUUGGCAGCCGGCGUACUUGUUUCGGAGCGCAGCACAUUUUGCGAUCCAGAUCAACGUACAGCGGCAUCCAAGAAGCCUUAUUUAACGCUCUUGACCUCGGAUCAGGUAGGGAUACCCGCAGAACUUAAGCAUAUCAAUAAGCGGAGGA